CCUGGAGCUGUGCUGGUACCUGCCAGGGAAAGCUGAGGAGUUCAAGCAGGAUAGCAGCUCUGGGCAAUCCCGCCCUAGUGGAGAGCAGCUCCCAUUCCCACAGGCACCUUUCCCUUUUGGAUGCCAUGGUGUUCCCCACCCGGCUGCUCUGGCCCUGCAGUUUGCCCUGAGAUGUGUAAAAGCACCGAGGAAGGCGGCAUGGCCACGGGCAGAAGAAGCCCUGGCAGAAACCAGCCCACGGGGACCUGCAGCCACUUGUGAAUCUCGGGCAAGAAGAGGUAGUCCCGGGUGGAUUAACAGUUUCUUUAACCAAGCCACUGUCUUCACCCUUGAAAUUUCUGGUAAAACUGAUCCAUUGUCUCUGAACAAGAUGGAAUUACGCAAAUAUAUUUACUUGCUUUAACAGACAAGGAAACGUCCUUCUGCCAAGUCACAGGUUCCAAAGCACUUUGGCAUCUCCGGAAAACAAACAACCCUUACCUUGCUUUUUUGGGGGAGCCAAAGCACAGUUUACAGCAUGGGAUGUAAUCUGAGCAUGCAAACCAAAGCUACUGGUUUGGUCUGAGCUUCCUUCCCACCAGGAAGCUCAGCUGCUACAAGAGACAGUAAGGGCUGCACACAGGAGUAGCUUGAU